rnacentral:rRNA from 1 species
AGAGUUUGAUCAUGGCUCAGAUCGAACGCUGGCGGCAGGCCUAACACAUGCAAGUCGAACGGUAACAGGAAACAGCUUGCUGUUUCGCUGACGAGUGGCGGACGGGUGAGUAAUGUCUGGGAAACUGCCUGAUGGAGGGGGAUAACUACUGGAAACGGUAGCUAAUACCGCAUAACGUCGCAAGACCAAAGAGGGGGACCUUCGGGCCUCUUGCCAUCAGAUGUGCCCAGAUGGGAUUAGCUAGUAGGUGGGGUAACGGCUCACCUAGGCGACGAUCCCUAGCUGGUCUGAGAGGAUGACCAGCCACACUGGAACUGAGACACGGUCCAGACUCCUACGGGAGGCAGCAGUGGGGAAUAUUGCACAAUGGGCGCAAGCCUGAUGCAGCCAUGCCGCGUGUAUGAAGAAGGCCUUCGGGUUGUAAAGUACUUUCAGCGGGGAGGAAGGGAGUAAAGUUAAUACCUUUGCUCAUUGACGUUACCCGCAGAAGAAGCACCGGCUAACUCCGUGCCAGCAGCCGCGGUAAUACGGAGGGUGCAAGCGUUAAUCGGAAUUACUGGGCGUAAAGCGCACGCAGGCGGUUUGUUAAGUCAGAUGUGAAAUCCCCGGGCUCAACCUGGGAACUGCAUCUGAUACUGGCAAGCUUGAGUCUCGUAGAGGGGGGUAGAAUUCCAGGUGUAGCGGUGAAAUGCGUAGAGAUCUGGAGGAAUACCGGUGGCGAAGGCGGCCCCCUGGACGAAGACUGACGCUCAGGUGCGAAAGCGUGGGGAGCAAACAGGAUUAGAUACCCUGGUAGUCCACGCCGUAAACGAUGUCGACUUGGAGGUUGUGCCCUUGAGGCGUGGCUUCCGGAGCUAACGCGUUAAGUCGACCGCCUGGGGAGUACGGCCGCAGGGUUAAAACUCAAAUGAAUUGACGGGGGCCCGCACAAGCGGUGGAGCAUGUGGUUUAAUUCGAUGCAACGCGAAGAACCUUACCUGGUCUUGACAUCCACGGAAGUUUUCAGAGAUGAGAAUGUGCCUUCGGGAACCGUGAGACAGGUGCUGCAUGGCUGUCGUCAGCUCGUGUUGUGAAAUGUUGGGUUAAGUCCCGCAACGAGCGCAACCCUUAUCCUUUGUUGCCAGCGGUCCGGCCGGGAACUCAAAGGAGACUGCCAGUGAUAAACUGGAGGAAGGUGGGGAUGACGUCAAGUCAUCGUGGCCCUUACGACCAGAGCUACACACCUGCUACAAUGGCGCAUACAAAGAGAAGCGACCUCGCGAGAGCAAGCGGACCUCAUAAAGCGCGUCGUAGUCCGGAUUGGAGUCUGCAACUCGACUCCAUGAAGUCGGAAUCGCUAGUAAUCGUGGAUCAGAAUGCCACGGUGAAUACGUUCCCGGGCCUUGUACACACCGCCCGUCACACCAUGGGAGUGGGUUGCAAAAGAAGUAGGUAGCUUAACCUUCGGGAGGGCGCUUACCACUUUGUGAUUCAUGACUGGGGUGAAGUCGAAACAAGGUAACCGUAGGGGAACCUGCGGUUG